rnacentral:lncRNA from 1 species
UCCCCGCCGCAUUCCCGGUGUCGACUUACUAGCUGCAAGCCUCUGCCUGCCUUCCUGCGCGCCGUUCCCCGCUAGUCGCUGCUGCUGGCGCGCACUCGCCGGGUUUUUCCUCCCACGGCCUCGAGAUGGUGGUGAAUGUGGCACGGAGGAGCCGGGCCUUCCAACCCGGUGGGCCCGAGCUCCGAAAGGCCCCCUCGGCAGUGAGAGGGGCGGGAGCCCGCGGGGGCCGCGCCCUUCUCUCGCUUCGGACUGCGCAACGCUGCGCUCUGGGCUGACAGGCGGAUAAAACGGUCCCAUCAAGACUGAGAAAAAGCACACCAGCUAUUGGCACAGCGUGGGCAGUGGGGCCUACAGGAUGACUGACUUAGUCUACAGAGAUCCCGGCGUACUUAAGCAGGUAGUAAUGAUGGACAGAUGAAGACUCUUAAGAUGACAGAAGGUGAUUUUUCUGGUGAUCGAGGACUUCCGGGGUAAUGACAGUGAUGAAAUGCAGGGGACCUGGUUGCCCCCAAGUUUCCUGGCAGUGUGUGAUACUGAGGAGGUGAGCUUGUUUCUGGAGCUGUGCUUUAAGAUUCAUGUUACAUGUAAAGCUGUCCUCAUUUGUGACUAUGGACCUAUGGAGUUGGGUAAGUUAGUGACUACCCAAAGCUUUGUCACAACUUGGUGUGUAGCUGCAGGUAGUGCUCAACUAUCUGGGAUCCUGUCCUAAGUAGUCAACCUAAUAGAACUAUAAGGUUACUUAGGUCUGUGUCAAAGUUACAGCUUUUUUUUUUUUUUUUUUUGAGACAGGGUCUUUCUGUCACCCAGGCUGGAGUGCAGUGGCACAAUCUUGGCUAAUUGCCUCCCAGGUUCAAGUGAUUCUCCUGCCUCAGCCUCCUGAGUAGCUGGGACUAUAAGCACGCACCACUAUGUCUGGCUAAUUUUUGUAUUUUUAGUAGAGACAGGGUUUCACCACGUUGCCCAGGGCAGUCUUGAACUCCUGACCCCAAGUGAUCUGCCUGCCUUGGCCUACCAAAGUGCUAGGAUUACAGGCAUGAACCACUGUGCCGGGCCAGAAAGUCUUAGCAUCUUAGUAACAUUUACAUUUGGCCUCCCUCGUGUGCCCUUAGCUAUUCAUUACCAGAGGGCAAAGAUGGUUAGAACAUGAUU